CCUACGGGAGGCAGCAGUGAGGAAUAUUGGUCAAUGGACGAGAGUCUGAACCAGCCCAGUAGCGUGAAGGAUGACUGCCCUAUGGGUUGUAAACUUCUUUUAUAAAGGAAUAAAACGAGGCACGUGUGCCUUUUUGCAUGUACUUUAUGAAUAAGGAUCGGCUAACUCCGUGCCAGCAGCCGCGGUAAUACGGAGGAUCCGAGCGUUAUCCGUAUUUCUUGGGUUUAAAGGGAGCGUAGAUGGGUUGUUAAGUCAGUUGUGAAAGUUUGCGGCUCAACCGUAAAAUUGCAAUUGAUACUGGCAGUCUUGAGUACAGUUGAGGUAGGCGGAAUUCGUGGUGUAGCGGUGAAAUGCUUAGAUAUCACGAAGAACCCCGAUUGCGAAGGCAGCUUACUAAACUGUGACUGACAUUGAUGCUCGAAAGUGUGGGUAUCAAACAGGAUUAGAUACCCUGGUAGUC
rnacentral:rRNA from 1 species